rnacentral:misc_RNA from 1 species
GCGUAGCGCAGUUCAUUAUUUUUAUAAUUUUGUUUUGCUCUCCUGAUAAAGGUUAGUGAAUUAUUGAUAAGAAUCAAAAUUAUUUGAAAUCGCUGGGAAGUAUCCUAUUGUGCUAAGUUAGUGAAACGAGUGGCUAUUAAAUAGUGGGUUAAUCGAACAGCAAGUGGCUGAUUGCAUAUGACUUAUGUAUUUAAGGGGAUUCAUUAUGUAAAGUUGGUUUGUGAUAGAAUAAUUAGUGUUAAAAGAAGCAUCAUAAUGCAGAGCCAGGCUCAGACCACAUCAGGAGCUGAGGCGCCUCCACCUCCCCCAACUCCAUCUACUUCUACACGCAAUCAACUACGUCCUGUAAAGUAUGAUUAUGCAGAUUCUUUCGCUUGCACUUAUGUGGUAUCAGUAGUGGCCGCUUCCAUAGCUGAGUUAACUACAUAUCCCCUUGAUUUAACCAAAACACGUCUGCAAAUUCAGGGCGAAGCAGUGAGUGCCGAACCGAAGACAGACAAGGGCGUUAAACCUAAGCAGUAUCGUGGCAUGGUUGCGACUGCAUACGGUAUUGUCAGGGAAGAGGGCACAAUGAAAUUGUGGCAAGGUGUGACGCCUGCACUGUACCGCCAUGUUGUCUACAGCGGUGUUCGCAUAUGCAGCUAUGACUUUCUACGUCGGAAGUUGGGCAACGAUGAAAACGGCCAUAUUACUUUGCCCCUUUGGAAGUCAGCCCUCUGUGGUGUAUCAGCAGGCGCUGUGGCACAAUGGCUGGCAUCUCCCGCCGAUUUAGUUAAGGUACAAAUUCAAAUGGAAGGGAAACGUCGAUUGAUGGGCGAGCCAGCGCGCGUCCACGGCGCCGCACAUGCUUUAAAGGAAAUAGUCCGCCGUGGGGGCAUACCUGGCCUGUGGAAAGGUAGCAUCCCGAAUGUGCAGCGUGCUGCACUUGUUAAUCUUGGUGAUCUUACAACUUACGAUACCAUAAAGCGAUUGAUUAUGAUCAAACUGAAUAUGCCAGACUGUCAUACAGUACAUGUGCUCUCCUCAAUUUGUGCCGGAUUUGUGGCCGCGAUUAUGGGCACCCCGGCAGAUGUAGUAAAGACAAGGAUAAUGAACCAGCCUACGGACGAAAGAGGCAGAGGAUUACUCUACAAAGGCUCUCUCGAUUGUCUUCGUCAAACAGUAAAUAAGGAAGGAUUUGCUGCGCUCUAUAAGGGUUUCUUGCCAUGCUGGAUCCGUAUGGCGCCGUGGUCCCUAACCUUCUGGCUGUCGUUUGAGCAGAUUCGUAGCAUGAUCGGUGCUUCUGGUUAUUAGUUCAUUUUGUGGAACCUUAGUGUACUCAUAUUAAGUGUUUUAUAGGCGUUGCGGGCGUUAUUGCAAGCAUUCAUGCCUUUCUCAAGUGAUCGGGAUAGUAAAACGUGCUUACAAUUGUUAAUUUCAGUUUUAAAUACGUUGUGCCAAUCAUAAAGACGUCAAGUGUUACAACCAAUAACCCUGGUCGAAAAGCAGCAACGAUAUGCUUAACAAUUGUCUAUUAUGUUAAUUUAUAUAUAUACGUGUGUCUACUCUUAAAAAUGCGACUUUAUUUACAUAUGUACGUCCGCAUAUGUGUUGAUGCUAAGUGAAUCAGGAAGGAUUGCUAUAAUUGCUUUUUACUACGUACAUAUGUACUUAAAGCUGAUGAUUGAAAUACAUAAAUUAUUUGAAGCCUUAUACACUGCACUGCAGAGUUUGUUUAAGUAAUUCAAGUGACAAUAUCUUAUUGUAAAAUGUAAAUACAAAAUAAAUUAAGUUUUUUACACAUAAAUAA